AGAGUUUGAUCCUGGCUCAGGAUGAACGCUAGCGACAGGCUUAACACAUGCAAGUCGAGGGGCAUCAUGAGGUAGCAAUACCUUGAUGGCGACCGGCGCACGGGUGAGUAACGCGUAUGCAACCUGCCCGAUACCGGGGUAUAGCCCAUGGAAACGUGGAUUAACACCCCAUAGUACUUUUAUCCUGCAUGGGAUGUGAGUUAAAUGUUCAAGGUAUCGGAUGGGCAUGCGUCCUAUUAGUUAGUUGGCGGGGUAACAGCCCACCAAGACGAUGAUAGGUAGGGGUUCUGAGAGGAAGGUCCCCCACAUUGGAACUGAGACACGGUCCAAACUCCUACGGGAGGCAGCAGUGAGGAAUAUUGGUCAAUGGACGUAAGUCUGAACCAGCCAAGUCGCGUGAGGGAAGACUGCCCUAUGGGUUGUAAACCUCUUUUAUAAGGGAAGAAUAAGUUCUACGUGUAGAAUGAUGCCUGUACCUUAUGAAUAAGCAUCGGCUAACUCCGUGCCAGCAGCCGCGGUAAUACGGAGGAUGCGAGCGUUAUCCGGAUUUAUUGGGUUUAAAGGGUGCGUAGGCGGUUUAUUAAGUUAGUGGUUAAAUAUUUGAGCUAAACUCAAUUGUGCCAUUAAUACUGGUAAACUGGAGUACAGACGAGGUAGGCGGAAUAAGUUAAGUAGCGGUGAAAUGCAUAGAUAUAACUUAGAACUCCGAUAGCGAAGGCAGCUUACCAGACUGUAACUGACGCUGAGGCUCGAAAGUGUGGGUAGCGAACAGGAUUAGAUACCCUGGUAGUCCACGCC
rnacentral:rRNA from 1 species